rnacentral:lncRNA from 13 species
AAAACAUUCAACUGUAAGAUGAAGGUACACUGAAAGGUUUCUGUUGUUUUUCUUAAAGCCAUAUGCUCAUCAAGUUCUACAGUCUACUCCAUAUGUCUCCUUGGACAUCUGAUAAGCUUCAAAAUGAUCAAAACCAACCCUUCCUCUGAGGAGGAGGAUGAAAGAGGCCGAGGAGAAAGAAUACCUUUAUGAUGAUCAACCUUCACCUAAUGAUUGAUAAAUAUAUCUUCUCUUCUUUAUAAUUUUCUUAAUAACAUGUUUUUACUUUAAGAAUGCAGUAUCU